UUCUCAAGAUUUCCCUGUUCCCAUUAUUGAUGCAAAAUAUUAAUUGCUAAUCACUGAGAUAAUUUUCUCCAAUAGUGUUUGAUUGUUUCUUUUCAACAUUUAUCUCAUAUUGGAUACAAUGAGAUGCUGAAUCAAUACAUUAAAGUUUAAAUGCAAUAUUUUACUUUCUCUGAAAAGUGCUUGUUAUAACAUUUGUAAAUAUCAUUAUAGACACUUUAUUUAAAAUGCUUCUAUUUUUACUACAGUGCACAAACAACAGAAAACUGAAAAAUAUUUUAUUCAGCUCUUUAUCACAGUUCAAUUAUGGAAUGAAGAUAUCUCAUAAGAAGCUGAAGGGCUGAAAGCAAGGUGUUUGGAGGCAUCUGAAUGGGAAGCUCAGAAUUGUUUUGCUUAGUUUUAGACACCCAGCACUAUCAGGUGGCUGAUCUCUCUGGGUUUCCUCUCCUCCAGAAGGAAUGCUCAAGUGCUGCCAGCUUGCAGAGACAAUAUUGCAACAUCCUCAGAUGAACUUGCUAGACCCACCCUAAUGCUCUGGGGUUGUCCCCUGCCUGAUGGGCUGCCACCAAGGCUCUAAAACCCUCGCACACAAAGGCACCACGGGACUCCCACCCUCGACGUGAGCGCUCUGCCUGCCUCUGGCGCUGCCUGUCAGACCCGCUUCAGCUGGAAUCAAGUUUACAGUCUCUUCACGGCCCAGAAGGAGGAAAGAAAAUGAAGAAGAGAACAAAUAUUAUGGCAUCCUUGCUUUCCUGAGGCUGGUAAUCCAGCCAGUUGCAGUCUCAGCCUCUAAGAGCUCAGUUUUCCCAGUAGCUUUAGGAAUAUUUCCUGCAGGCUUGCCUCUCUGAUGUCACAGCUCACAGAGAACCAUGGGAGGUUUGAAUUUUGGCUUCUCUUUGGAGUAUUUUACAAGGACAGAGAUUUUACAUGCUAAAAUGCGCUCUGUAAAGCACAGCUGUAAAAAAAAAAAAAA